AUAGACAGUGUAGUCCAUAUUAUGAUGGCCGAUUAAAAUAGUUAUAUGUAAAGAUCAGCAGUAUGGAGGCAGGUGUGAAAUGCUAACAAAACAGUGCAAAUCGAAAAAAUGUGGGCUAACGAUUAUUUGAUGAUUUAAUUAUGAUUUAGUUUCACGGUCUAUGAUUGAGCGGCUCCACCUUGGGAAGGAUGCAUUGAAGAAUCAAAUAUUUGAGUAAUUCCAAUCCUUCUUUCACGAAUAAUUUUCUUCUUUUCAGGCGAUAAACGUGUUGACUCUUCGUUUUUCUGCAAUGCUUCUUCUGUUGUUGACUCGGAAUCAAGCGUUUGUCUUAGCUUUUCUUCGUCAUAUGCAAGAACAUCUUCAGCAGUAAUUUGUAUUGCCGUAGGAUUUCUUCGUAACAUGUUGGAGAUACUAACAAACGUAGUACACAAAUGUGGUCUGUUAUUAAAUUUAUAUUCAGCUUGAUUGAAUUUUAUUUACAUUCAAGGAUGAAAAAGCAAGAGAGGAAGAAAGAAACUCACCUUAGUUGCAAUGCAAUGAUAAAACACGCUGUUUUA